rnacentral:rRNA from 1 species
UACGGAGGGUGCGAGCGUUAAUCGGAAUUACUGGGCGUAAAGCGCGCGUAGGCGGUUUGUUAAGUCAGCUGUGAAAGCCCUGGGCUCAACCUGGGAAUGGCAGUUGAUACUGGCGAGCUUGAGUGUGGUAGAGGGGUGUGGAAUUUCCGGUGUAGCAGUGAAAUGCGUAGAGAUCGGAAGGAACACCAGUGGCGAAGGCGGCACUCUGGACCAACACCGACGCUGAGGUGCGAAAGCAUGGGGAGCAAAC